GUUGCAAAGAACUUUGAAGAGAGAGUUCAAGAGUACGUGAAACUGCUGAGAGGCAAACUGGUGGGCCCUCGAAAUCCCGUUUGCGGGGAGAUUCAGUCGGGUGUCGGCGGCCGUCUCUGAAAUGGGUCUGUUGCAACCGAAGAUCGGGGCACAUUCCGGGAGGCGAGUUCCGCUGGAACCCGACGCAUUUCCCGCCCGCACGAAAGGACGCCGCAGCCGGUCGGGUAGCUGCGCGUGUCGGCCAUGAGGACGUUGCAACGGCAGGUGACCGGCGGCCCUAGGCUUCUUCGGAGGCACUAACGGUCGACGGUUGAUUAGCCGGCUCGUCCGUGGCGCGACACCCGACCGAGGUAAUAAUAGAGAAGGAACGGGCGUUUCUCCACGGAGAUCGUUCCCGUCUGCAAUCCACUACUUUCAAUCGGAAGAGCGAGCCGUCGGACAGGCGCGUUCUUGCGUGGUCGGGCAGUCACCGCACUGGUCGAUCUGGUGAGAGCGCGUCGCUUGUACCGAGUCAGGAUCUCGCGGAGGAUGGAGGCUGGCGGCGAGUAGGUCGGUAACCCACCCGACCCGUCUUGAAACACGGACCAAGGAGUCUAACAUGUGCGCAAGUCGCGGGGUCUUGUUCAGGCCCAAAGGCGAAAUGAAAGUGAAGGCCGCCGCUUCCCCUUAUUCACUUAGGGGCGGAGUGAGGCGGCCCGGUUGGGAUCCGCACGUGACACGGCACGUGACGAAGCACCAACGACCCGCCCUGUUCUAUUCUUAAUAGGAACUCAAACGGAGUUUGAGCGCACACGUUGGGACCCGAAAGAUGGUGAACUAUGCCUGGGCAGGACGAAGCCAGAGGAAACUCUGGUGGAGGUCCGCAGCGGUUCUGACGU
rnacentral:rRNA from 1 species